rnacentral:tRNA from 1 species
GGCCUCGUAACUCAGUUGCUAAAGUGUUGGCUGUACUAAAGCCUGCCCCAUGCUGGCAUGGGUUCGAGUCCCACCGAGGCCG